AUUAUUCAUAGAUUCCAAAAUGAACCACUGAUGGUAAAAUUAUAGAGAGUAAGUAAGUUACAAAGAAGAGCACUAAUGCAAUUUGUGAUGACUGAUACAGAUCUAUGUUUAUUCCCUGGUGAUAACACAGUCUUAUCACUAAUUAAUAAUUUACUAUUCUUUGCUGACUUAGGAUCAGUAAGUUAAUGUUCCAUUCCAUCACUUUCUCUGCAAAAGACUUUAAGUAAUUCAUGAAUACUUCAUAUAGCUAUUUCUGUGCCAAGAAGAUGGCACCAUUAAUGCAUAAAUCAAACGUUGUCAGUUGUUUCUGCUUCUAAAAGCUAGUUUAAGCUCAAAAAACACAUUUUCCUCACUGAAUAUUUUUCUGCACAAAUCAUGUUACAGUAUGCUAG